rnacentral:lncRNA from 1 species
UUCCACACCACUCUGGGAAAAAAACAACUCAGAACAAUAGGGUGGCAAUUCUCAAGGCUAUACCUCCUGCCUUUUUUUCUCUUCCCUAAAACAGCUGCCACCUCCCAAAUCCCAGGGUUUGAUGUCUGUACCUCACGCCACACGCUUGUCUCGUCUUCACCUUUGUCUCCUGAGGGAUGGACACUGUUACAGAAGACGGACGUGUUUGAUGCUGAAGUCACACAGUAUCCUGCCAGCAUCAGUUAAACGAUGAAUCUUGUAUGAGAGGGAUUCACGUCUGGGACAGACAGGAGAAGAGCUCCUGGGAUUUGCAGAAGAAAGAGGCCUGGGGACAAGUAGAUGUCAUCACUGGGGCCUCAGGAAGACCUUAUCGGGCCUGUAGACUCUUCAUUUGGAGCCUUGGUCUUAGCAGUGUUGAUUUCUGGCCCUUGGCGGAUGGCUACUAUACCUGGGAGUUACUUGCCUCUGUAAGUAACUCCGAAGGCCACUUCGCCUUAGGAUGGCAGCACCAUCUGAAGGAGCUUCCCUGGAGGCUCAGUGGCGAAGAAUCUCCCUGCCAAUACAGGAGAUGCAGGUUCACUCUCUACAUCAGGAAGAUCCCCUGGAGAAGGAAAUGGCAAUCUGUUCCAGUAUUCUUGCCUGGGAAGUCUCAUGGACAGAGGAACCUGGUGGGCUACAGUCCAUGGGGUUGCAAAAGAGUUGGACAUGACUUAGGGACUAAACAGCAGCAAAAUAGGCAAGGCAUGGGAAGGCACUGUAAGAGAACUGAAGUACACUGUCAUUCCUGCCAUAACCUUCCAAAACAUUAUAGUAAAGGAAAUAAGAUGAAUCCCCCAAUAAUUUUAAUGUAACCAAAAUGGUAACUGCUAGACAAACAGGAAAUAUAUUUUGAUAAUCUGGUUAGGGUGGUUAGAAGUGGAUUCAUGGAGAAAAUGACAGAAAAAAGAUACAUUUUAAAAAUUAUUAGGAAAUGUAGCCUUGGUUAUUUUAUCUUAUUUUACUUUUAUUUUGGAGUUUUAUCAAAAUAGACUUUUUUGAGCAAUUUUAAGUUCACACCAAAACUGGGUAGAAACUUACAGAGUUCUCACAUAACCACUGUCCCCACACAUGUACUGUCUACCCCACUAUUAACAUUUCCCCUACCCCACUAGUGGUAUAAUUGUUACAGUUGAUAACAGACCGUGACAAACAUCAUCAUCACCCAAAAUCCAUAGUUUACAUUAGGGUUCAGUCUUUGGAGAAAAGAAUAAAGACAUGUAUCCAUCACUAUAGUAGCA